AGUUAUUUUAUCUCUUACCUCAAAGCUAGAAAGCUUAUUUCCAAGGGGUGUAUUUACCAUUUGGUUAGAGUCAAAGACACUAAGUUUGAGACUCCAACUCUCCAGUCUGUUAACAUCGUCAAUGAUUUUUUUGAUGUCUUUCCAGAUAAUCUCCAAGGGAUACCUACUGAUAGAGAGAUAGAGUUCGGGAUUGAUCUUCUUCUCGAUACUCAGCCCAUUUCUAUUCCUUCUUACCGUAUGGCCCCUGCAGAACUUAAGGAGUUGAAAGAGCAACUCAAAGAUCUACUAGAUAAGGGUUUCAUAAGGCCUAGUAUUUCUCCUUGGGGUACUCCUGUGUUGUUUGUGAGAAAGAAAGAUGGCUNNNNNNNNNNNNNNNNNNNNNNNNNNNNNNNNNNNNNNNNNNNNNNNNNNNNNNNNNNNNNNCGAGAAUAGAUGAUUUGUUUGACCAAUUGCAAGGUGCAAGUUAUUUCUCAAAGAUAGACCUUCGUUGCGGAUAUCAUUAACUCAAAUUUAGGGAGUGUGACAUCUCGAAAACCAUUUUCCAAACUCGUUAUGGCCAUUUUGACUUUCUUGUUAUGUCUUUUGGGUUAACUAAUACCCUAGCAGCUUUCAUGGAGCUCAUAAAUUGAGUGUUCAGACCAUAUCUGAAUAUGUUUGUCAUAGUGUUCAUUGAUGAUAUACUGGUGUACUCCCGUAGUGAGGAUGAACAUUUUAAUCAUCUCGGAACUGUCUUGCAAAUCCUUAGAGAUCACAAGUUAUUUUCCAAGUUCAGUAAGUGUGAGUUUUGGCUAAGGUCAGUUGCUUUUCUGGAUUAUGUCAUUUCUUCUGAGGGUAUUAGAGUUGAUCCCCAAAAGAUCAAAGCUGUUAGAAAUUAGCCUAGACCUAUUUCUCUGACUGAUAUCCGAAAUUUCUUGGGUUUAGCUGGCUAUGACCACCAUUUUAUUGAGGGUUUCUCUACUAUAGCGUCUCCUAUGACUCGGUUGAUCCAAAAGAAAGUGAAGUUCUUGUGGUCCGAAUCUUGUGAGAAGAGUUUUCAGGAGUUGAAGACUCGACUCACUUCAGCCCCUAUUUUGACUUUGCCUGAUGGUGUUGAUGGUUUUGUAGUGUACUGUGAUGCUUUGAGAGUUGGGUUGGGUUGGGUUGCGUAUUGAUGCAGAAGGGUAAGGUGAUAGCUUAUGCUUCUAGAUAGUUGAAACCCCAUGAUAAAAAUUGCCCCACCCAUGACCUUAAGUUGGCUGCUACUGUGUUUGUUUUAAAAAUCUGGAGACACUAUUUGUAUGGUGUCCAUGUUAAUGUUUUCACUGAUCAUAAGAGUCUGCAGUAUGUGUUUACCCAGAGAGAAUUGAAUCUUAGCCAGAGACGAUGGUUAGAAUUAUUAAAGGACUAUGAUAUGAGUGUGUUGUACCAUCUGGGUAAGGCCAAUGUUGUGGCGGAUACCCUAAGUAGAGUGUCCAUGGGUAGUGGUUUGUAUGUGCUAGAAGGUAAGAAAGAGUUGGCUCAUGAUGUACAUCAUUUGGCUAGAUUGGGGGUUAGGUUGUUUAACUUUACUGAAGGUAGUAUAGGGGUUCAGAGUAGUUCCAAAUCCUCCUUGGUUUUGGAAGUGAAGGAAAAGCAAUACUUAGAUGCUAGUUUGGACAGACUGAAGAAGUCAGUGAAGGACCAAAAAGUAGAGGUUUACUCCCAAGGGGGAGAUGGUAUGUUAAGAUUGCAGGGUAGAUUGUGUGUCCCAAAUGUUGAUGAUCUAAGACAGAGGAUUAUGGAUAAAGCGCAUGAGGCGCGAUAUUCUAUACAUCCUGGUGCCACCAAGAUAUACCGAGACUUACGGGAAAUCUAUUGGUGGAGUGGCAUGAAGAAAGAUAUAGCAGCGUUUGUAGCUAAGUGUGCAACAUGCCAACAGGUUAAGGUUGAACACUAAAGACCUGGUGGUAUAAUGCAAGAGUUUAGUAUUCUCACCUGGAAGUGGAAAUAGAUAAUUAUGGACUUCGUGAUUGGUUUACCUUCUUCCCGAUGCCAUUAUGAUUCCAUUUGGGUUGUGGUUGGUAGGUUAACUAAGUCUGCUCAUUUCUUGCCUAUUCAUACUUCAUAUAUUUCUGAGGAUUACGCUAGAUUGUAUAUCCGAGAGCUAGUCAGACAACAUGGAGUUCCCUUGUCUAUCAUUUCAGAUAGGGGUACUCAAUUCACUUUGCAAUUUUGGAAAGCUUUUCAGAAGGGUCUUGGUACCCAAGUACUUUUGAGUUCUGCUUUUCAUCCGCAGACCGAUGGUCAGGCUGAGUGGACCAUCCAGACCUUAGAGGAUAUGUUGAGAGCUUGUGCACUUUACUUUAAGUGAAGUUGGGAUGAUCACUUACCAUAGAUAGAGUUUGCUUACAAUAACAGUUUCCACUCUAGUAUUAGCAUGGAUCCAUUUGAAGCCUUAUAUGGGAGGAAGUGUAGAUCACCCAUAGGUUGGUUCGAGGUGGAUGAAGCGGCUGUGAGUGGUCCUGAUUCAGUAUUUGAGGCUAUGGAAAAAUUUAAGUUGAUUAGGGAAAGGUUGAAAACUGCGUAGAGUCGUCAGAAGUCAUAUGCGGAUAUUAGAAGGAGAGACCUUGAGUUUGAAGUUGGUGACCUAGUGUAUCUAAAAAUUUCACCCAUGAGGGGGGUGAAGAGAUUCGGAAAGAAGGGGAAGCUUAGUCCCUAUUAUGUUGGUCCUUACAAAAUUCUUAGCCGUGUUGGUAAGGUAGCUUAUGAAGUCGAGUUGCCUUCCAAGUUGUCCUUUGUUCAUCCAAUAUUUCAUGUCUCUAUGCUUAGAAAGCAUAUUAAAGAUGCUGUGGUAGUGGAUUCCUCUGUGAGUGUUGACAUUCAAGAAAAUCUUUCUUUUGAUGAGAUUCCUGUUGAGAUUCUUUAUUUCAGUGUUCGAAGACAAAGAAACAAAGAAGUUCCCUUGGUUAAGGUGUUGUGGUGAAACCAGUUUGUUGAGGGUGCAACUUCGGAAGCUGAGACGGAUAUGCGAUCCAAGUACUCGCACCUAUUUUCUGCGAACUUCGAUCAAGCCGAAGGUACCGUUCUUUCCUAAAUCAUGCACUUUUGAUAAAAGUUGCAGCAGUUCAGCUGUCAUUUAUUAUGUGUUCAGCUGUAGUUUCUUGAAUUUAUGCAUUCUAUGUUGCAUUCGGAGUGACAAAACGAUGCGGUGAUGAGUCUAACAAAUAGUUUCAGCUGUAUUCUCUAUUCCCUAUCUAAUCUUGGCAUGUCUAGCGUCAUUCGAGGAUGAAUGUUUCCAAAGGGGGGUGAUGUAAUACCCUGGGAAAUUUUUCGUUGAAAUUUUGUGCGUAAACGUGCCGGGUUCUAUCUUCUAGAAUGAAUUAUAAAUUUUUCAUGCGGAAUGUCUUAGAUUAUGACCCACCAUUGCAUAUAGUAUCGAAUAAUCUUUCCAAAGAUAUGUGGAUCAUCCAAAAUGGACACCCGAGCGAUGAGUUAUGAACAUUCCGAUCGAACCGCGAAUAGUAGUGAAAAGUAAACCAUGCAGGAAAAGUACAAAGGCCUGGCGUAUUUUUGCUCCAAAUUUAAACGAUCAUAACUCCUUGUACAUAAUGAUAUGGCUGAUUUACUAUAUAUCAACGGAAAGCUCUGCGAGUCCUUUUUCCAAUGAAAUUGGUUUCAUCCAAUAUGGAUAUUGGAGUAAAAUGUUAUGGUUGUUCUACUUUAGACUAUCAAAACAGUCCACCAAAAGACAGAUUCGAGAAUUAUUUGAUUUUUAGGGGCGUUUUGGUCAUUCCCCUCACCCAAAAUCCAUCCAAACCCUAUAUUAAAGCCUAUUAGAAGCAUUAUAUGUUGUAUUUCAUCAAAUUCCCUCAAAAAGAAAACCCUAACUCCUACAUCCAACUUCAAGAACCUCCAAAGUUCACCAUUAAUUCUGCAAAUUUAUUCAAGAUUCCAAGUUCCUAGUUCAAGAACUUCAAGAACCUCCAAAGUUCACCAUUAAUUCUGCAAAUUUAUUCAAGAUUCCAAGUCCCUAGUUCAAGAACUUCAAGAACCUCCAAAGUUCACCAUUAAUUCUGCAAAUUUAUUCAAGAUUCCAAGUUCCUAGUUCAAGAACUUCAAGAACCUCCAAAGUUCACCAUUAAUUCUGCAAAUUUAUUCAAGAUUCCAAGUUCCUAGUUCAAGAACUCCAAGAACCAUCAUUCAAAGGCACGAUUAACAUCUCAAAAAUGAGUAUCGAUCUAAAGUUCAUCAUUCAAGGUUUGUGGGGUUUUUUAACAAGAACUCUAUUUCGUUCUUGUGCCCAAAAGUAAUUUUCUUUACAAAGGCAUGAUUUUUAUUUGACUUUUACGAAUUUGAAGCAUGAACCCGUAUCUUAUGAUGAUUAUUAUGAAAUCUUGAUUUUUAUGAUUUUGAAAGAUAAAUUUACAUGUGUGGAGAUAUAAAGCAUGAAUCUUGAAUGACAUUUAUCAUAAUUUUGAUAUUUGGGUCGUGAAUCCCCAUUGGAAAUUGUGUUUUUGUUGACAAAGUGUGUGUUAUAAGCACGUUGAUGUUGAAUAUUUGAGAUAUUUUGAAUGAUUUGUCCUUUUGAUCUUAAUGGGAUUAUUUUGAACUCGAGGGUAAAAGAAAUCCACAACGUGAUUGAUUUUGAUAGAUAGGAAGCAUGAUGGCUCCCGAUGUAUAUUUAUAUAUUACCAAAAUUAUUUUGUUGUGGAUUGUCUUUGACAUGAUUUUAGCUAAGUCUAGGAGAAAUCUUUAGCACCGAGUGGGAGGUAUAAAGCAACCUUACUUCCGUAGAACUAUGUGCCCCCGUAGGAGUGAGCCUGAGGCUGAUUUAUAUAGUGAUCACUAGUUUGUGUGGAUUUGAUAUCAAUAGUCCUACUCCGAUGGCAAGGAUAGGACGACUCUCCCCAAUGUGGGUUGUACGUUGGACUCCAUGUAGCUNNNNNNNNNNNNNNNNNNNNNNNNNNNNNNNNNNNNNNNNNNNNNNNNNNNNNNNNNNNNNNNNNNNNNNNNNNNNNNNNNNNNNNNNNNNNNNNNNNNNNNNNNNNNNNNNNNNNNNNNNNNNNNNNNNNNNNNNNNNNNNNNNNNNNNNNNNNNNNNNNNNNNNNNNNNNNNNNNNNNNNNNNNNNNNNNNNNNNNNNNNNNNNNNNNNNNNNNNNNNNNNNNNNNNNNNNNNNNNNNNNNNNNNNNNNNNNNNNNNNNNNNNNNNNNNNNNNNNNNNNNNNNNNNNNNNNNNNNNNNNNNNNNNNNNNNNNNNNNNNNNNNNNNNNNNNNNNNNNNNNNNNNNNNNNNNNNNNNNNNNNNNNNNNNNNNNNNNNNNNNNNNNNNNNNNNNNNNNNNNNNNNNNNNNNNNNNNNNNNNNNNNNNNNNNNNNNNNNNNNNNNNNNNNNNNNNNNNNNNNNNNNNNNNNNNNNNNNNNNNNNNNNNNNNNNNNNNNNNNNNNNNNNNCUGGUUUUAUUUAUUUUCUUAAAGGCUUGUCAGACUAGUAUAGAUGUUAGGAGUUGACUAAUAAGUCGUAUUUUGUCAUCUUUCUGAAAUUCUUUUAUUCUUGGAUGAUGAUUACUCUGUUGAUAUUUGAGGGUUAUUUAUGGAAACCCCGUUGAUUUGUGUUGAACUGAAUGAAAAUGGCUCAAAGGGUUAGCUUGGGGCUACUCGUAGCCUCAAGCACCGUGUGAUACUCCGGGACCCAUUUUCUGGGGCGUUACAGAUAAUAGAUCCAUAUCUCUGGCCUCACCAAAUUUAGUCCUCACCAUUUAUGUAGAAAGACUGAAAUAUGACUUAGAACACAAGGUAAGAAAGAUCCACAUGAUUAGAAACAAUAAAUGGGGAAGUUCCCUAAAAACAUCUUAUAGCAUCUCAAAGAUAGAUAUGGAUGUCUAUAUAACAAUCUGCGAGACUUUAUUAGACUCCUCAUUCUUACACUAUUGAGACUAAUGAACCCGACUCUAGUAUGAAUUUUUCACGACUGAAAAACCUAGUGUAAUAAUGGCACUAGUCGUGGCAAACCUUGACAAGUGAGCCUAUCACCUAAAUUGAUAUGAGAAAUGCUAUAUGCAGUUUUGAUUUUGUGCAGCUAACUUUAAGGGACCAGGUCCCUAGAUGUGCAAGGUACUGUACAACUAGCACGCAUUGUCUGCACAAUUUUAUCCUCUUAUGUAAAAAACUUACAGGUGCUAAUUAAUACUAAUUAGGAUAGCUGGUCUAAUGAUAUUCCAAUCCUAAUCAUCACUUAUCUAUUACAGAAAAGAGAUGCUUCUUUAUCAAAUAAGGUUUUUACAAUAAAAAGAGUAAAGAGAGAUAGAAAAAAACCUCCAUUACUCAAGUUCUUAGCUAUUUAUUUGAGUUGAAAUUGAAAUUGUUCUUGAGUUAGUAAUGAUUUGUAACUGAACUACUCAUAUUAUAAGAGUAGUGUUUUUCUCUUUGAGUGGAGAGUGCUUAGGUAGAGUUGCUUAAGUGUAAGGCUGAUUAGAGUUAAUCAGCGUAAAUAGUCCUUGGUAGAGUUGCCAAGUUGACCUUGAGUAGAUUUAAUAUGAGUGAAAGUAUCCUAGAGGUAGGAUAAAAUCUAGACUAUAAUUAGGAGAUUAAUUAUAUUGGAUUUUUUAGUUCUUGUGAGGAAGAGCCAUGGUUUUUCCCGUCCUAGGUUUCCACAUAAAUUCUUGUGUUUUUACCUUCCUGCACUGCCUUUGUUAUUCAAGAACCUCAUAGUUGCUUUACUGUUGUAUUACUUGUGAUUGACAUUGAGGGACCUAGUCCCUCACAACCCCCAAGGAUUCCAAUAGUUAGUAUCAGAGCGAGGUUCACCCUAAAAGGUUCACAUCUAGAGUGUUCUACUCAUCAUGGUUGCUUUAACUAAAUUAGGGGUAGAAGGAAAGAAAGCAAAAAGGAAGAGAUUCCUUAUGUUGAAGACCCUAGAGUAUGAUCUAGGUGAAGAAGACACUGAUGUUGCACCUCUGGUAGUGAGGAUUGUUAGAGCUAUAUAAAGGGGUGGUCAUCUUAGCAAAGAGAAUGAUCAAAAUCUCUAAAAUUCAAAAAGAAAAGAUGCAGCUAGCUAUAUAAUAAAGAAGAUGUUGGUUGCAUAGGAAGAGUCCUUACAUAAAUAUUAGAAAGACAAGGAGGAUGGAUAUGGUUUCAUGCUAAAACAUGGUGAGAAGAAAAUAAUCUCAGGAUUCUGUAGCUCUAUAAAGGCCACUACUAAAAAUAGAGAAGAAAAUGUGGUAGAAAAGGAUGACAACCAAUACUAGUUUAUGGAUAGUGGUUGUUCUAGACACAUAACUGGGAGGGUUGAUUGUUUUUUCUCUCCCAAGGCACUUCAAGGGGGAAGUUUGUCUUUUGGAAGUAAAAAAAAGGUUACAUCCAAGGUGUUCGAAAGAUUGGGAAAUCACCUCAUCAUGCAAUAGAAGAUGUGUAUUAUGUGAAUGGGCUAAACUACAUUCUUCUAAGUGUAUCUCACAUUUGUAACAAAGGAAAUGAGGUAAAAUUCUCAUCUAAUGGAUGCACUGUAUCAAGCAUGAAAUCUUGAAAGAUUAUUCUCAAAUCCAAAAGGAUCAAGGACAUGUAUUUAGCAGAUCUAGAGUUUGUAGAUGAUGGGGUAUUAAGUUUCUUAAGUACACUAGGUGAAGAUGAUCAUUUAUGGCAUAAAAGAUUAGGGUAUGUGAGUUCCUCCUUGUUAAACAAACUAAUUUCUAGGGACCUGGUCCGUGGCUUGCCAAAGUUGAAAUUUCCUAAUAACAAAGUUCGUGAUGCUUGUGUUAAAGGUAAACAAACUAGAUACUUCUUCAAAUUGAAAAAGCAAGUAAGCACUUCCAGACCUUUUGAAAUACUAUACAUGGAUUUAUGUGGACCUAUCAAAGUCCAAAGUAGAGGAGGGAAGAAAUAUAUGUUGGUUAUUGUAGAUGUGUAUUCCAGGUUCACCUGGACAAUGUUUAUAAGAACCAAAGAUGAAAUAUAUGGGGUUCUUGUGGCUUUUGCCAAGAAAAUCCAAUUGAGGCUAAAUUGCAAAAUUGGUGAAUUUAGGUCUAAUCAUGAGACUGAUUUUGAGAAUUCUCAAGUUGAUGAAUUCUAUGCUAAGCAUGGAAUAAGUCACAACUUUACUACUCCUAGAACUCCACAAAAAUAUGGAGUUGUUGAAAGGAAAAAUAGAACUCUCAUAGAGAUUGCUAGGCCUAUGCUAAUUGAUAGUAGUUUUCCAAAGAAUUUCUAGGCUGAAGUAGUGAAUACUGCUUGUUAUGUAACUAAUAGGUGUUUGAUUAUAUCACUUCUAAAUAAAACUCCAUAUAAGCUGGUAUUCAAUAGAUAGCCUAGGAUAGACUACUUUAGACCUUUUGGAUGCAAAUGUUUUGUGCUAAACAAUAGGAAGAGAGAAUUGGGAAAAUUUGAUUCCAAUAGUGAUGAAGCUGUGUUUGUAGGUUACUCCUCUACUAUAAAGGCUUAAAGACUGUUCAAUAAAAGAACACUAUGUGUUGAAGAAAGUAUUCAUAUGAUCUAUACUAAGUCAGGAAGUCAAAUGACCACUGGAGAGAUUGAAAGUUCAGAAGAUGAAGAACUCAUUCCGGUCCAAAGGGAUGUUAUUACUGAAGAUGAUGAUCAAGGGAGUAAUGAUGCAGAUGAGAGUAAUGACAGUGAUGAUGAUCCAGGAUCUCAUCCAUAAAUUCCAGCUCUACUAGAAGAAUAACCAGAGGAAAUCAGUCAGAAUUCACACGGACCAGGUUUCAGUGGUAUCAAUCUUCGAAGGCAAAACUGGAGGAACAAAAUCUUUCAUCCCCAUGAUUACCUGACUACACCCUUGGAAACUGGAGUUCAAAAAAGAGCUCAAGCUAGGAAUGCUAUGGCAUUUUUAGCCUUUUUAUCCUAAAUUGAGCCCAAAAAUGUAAAAGAGGCUUUAAAAGAUGUUGAUUGGAUUAAUGCAAUGUAAUAAGAUCUUUAUCAAUUUAAAAGAAGUAAAGUAUGGAAUUGGGUCCCUAGGCCUAUUGACAAAACAAUUAUUGGGACUAAAUGGGUGUACAAGAAUAAGCAAGAUGAAAACAGAAAUAUCAAUAGAAACAAAGCAAGGUUGGUUGUUCAAGGUUAUAACUAGGAAGAAGGGAUUGACUAUGAUGAGACCUUUUACACUUUAGCAAGAAUAGAGAAAAUCAGUAUUCUUGUUGUAUUUGCUGUAGAUAUGGGAUUUAAACUAUUUCAAAUGGAUGUCAAAAGUGCCUUCCUAAAUGAAAAUUUGAAAGAAGCAGUAUAUGUCAAACAACCUCCAAGUUUUGAAGAUGUAGACUUUCCUCAUCAUGUACUUAAAUUGGACAAAUCUCUUUAUGGUUUGAAGCAAGCACCAAGGGCAUGGUAUGAGAAACUCUCAAAGUUUCUCAUGGAAAAUGGCUUCAAAAGAAGGAAAAUAGAUAAUACUCUAUUUUUAAAGACUAGAGUUAGUAGUCUAUUGAUCGUUCAGAUGUAUGUUGAUGACCUAAUCUUCAGAGCUACUUUUGAAUCCCUAUGUGAAGAAUUUGGUAAACUAAUGGGAAGUAAAUUUGAAAUGAGUUUGAUGGGUGAAUUAAGGUUCUUUCUAGGUCUACAAAUUAAGCAAGCUUCUCAAGGGACAAUGAUUUGUCAAGAGAAGUACAUCAAGGAGCUACUGAAAAAGUAUAACAUGGGAGAUGCCGAGCCAAUUAAUACCCUAAUUGGAACCAGCUCAAAAAUAUACAAUGAUGAGUUACGUCCUUUCACUACUAAAAAAUGCCAAAAAACGACGGCCAGCGUCGUUUUUUUGGGCAAAAGCGACGAAAAUCCGUCGCUUUUUUUCAUCUAAAAAGGGGCAUUGGUUUUUGAAAACGACAGCAUGCAUCGCUUUUAUUACGAUGGACAAUGUCGUUUUUUGAAAAAAAAAUUUAGUUACUUUUUUUAGAAAAAGAGACGUUGUGCGACGUUUUUUAUUCUUCAUGUGAAGAACACAUGAUGAACAAAAAACGACGCUAUGCGUCGUUUUAUUGAAGGAAAUUUUUUUUUAAAAUUAGAAAAAAUUACAUUGUCCGUUGUAUUUUGAGAAAAAUAAUUUAUUUUUUUCAUAAUGAAGAAAAGAAGUGACGUUGGCCGUCGCAUUUUGUUCUUCAUAAUGAAGAAAAAAAGCGAUGUUGACUGUCAAUUUUUGUUCUUCAUAAUGAAGGAAAAAAGCGACGUUGGCCGUCGCUUUUCUACAUUUUUUUUAAUGCAAAAAUCUGCAUUUCUUGUAUCCCACCUGCCAAAUAAAAAUGCAAUUCAAUAUAUACAGACUCAUGCAACACACAUUUCUAAAAUAAUCUUACAACGCACAACAUUAUCAAAACAUUUAAGCAAUUCAAGUCAACAACACUUAAAAAAUCAAAUCCAAAAUACAAAACACUUAAUUAAUUAAUCCAACAACUACCAAAACACUUAAACAAUCCUAAAGUUUUUUCAUUGGAGUCUACAGGUGUCCGAGAUUUCUUUUUAGCAGUUGACUUCGAACUCUUAUCAGGACGAGGCCAAUCACCGUCACCACUGGAUGUCAUUUGUAUGCAAAUUUACAUCAAAACAUAUAAAAAUCAAGUCAUUAGUUCAUAUUUCAUGUGACUACAUUUACUAUUUUCAAGUUACUAGUAUACAUUUCAAGAUACUACACUCAAAUUAUUUUCAAAUAUCUAAUUGACAUUUUAUUUCACUACACUUAACCAUUUUCAAAUAACUAAUAGACAUUUCAAGUAACUACAUUUAAUCAUUUUCAAGUCACUACUACACGUUUUAGUCACUAUACUUAACCAUUUUCAAAUAACUAAUUCACAUUACAAGUCACCACACUUAGAAUAUUUUUAAGUUACUAGUACACAUUUCAAAUCACUACACUUUGACUAUUUUCAAUUAAUUAAAUCACAUUUCAAGUCAAUAUACUUAAUCAUUUUCAAGUGACUAUACUUUAUUAUUUUAAAGUUAUUAGUACACAUUUAGAGUGACUACACUUAACCAUUUUCAAGCAUCAUGUUCACAAUUUCAAGUAACUACACUUAACCAUUUUCAAGUCACGAGUUCUUAAUUUCAAGUAACUACACUUAAUCAUUUUCAAGUCACUACAAUUAAUAAUUUUCAAAUAACUUAUUCACUAGUACACAUUUCAAGUCACUACACUCAAACCAUUUUCAAAUAGCUAAUUAACAUUUCAAGUCACUAUACUUAAGCAUUUUUAAGUAACUAUAGUUAACCAUUUUCAAGUCACUAGUACACAUUUCAAGUCACUACACUUAACCAUUUUCAAAUAACUAAUUCAUGUUUCAAGACACUAGAAUUAACCAUUUUCAAAUAAUUAAUUCACAUUUCAAGUCACUAUACUUAACCAUUUUCAAGUAACUACUUUCCAUUUAAAAUAACUAUACUUAACCAUCUUCAAGUCACUACACUUAAUCAUUCAUUUCAAGUUACUAUACUUAACCACUUUCAAGCAACUAAUUUACAUUCCAAGUAACUACACUCAAUCAUUUUCAAGUCACAAGUUUACAAUUUCAAGUAACUACACUAAACCAUUUCCAAGUCACUACACUUAAUAAUUUUUAAAUAACUUAUUCACAUUUCAAGUCUCUACACUCUAACCAUUUCCAAGUGACGACUUAUCCGUUUGUAAAUACUCAUUUGAGGAGAAGGAAUGGAACAAGGUUGUGAAUACUGAAUAGCUUUUAUUACAACAAGAAUGAGCAUGAUCUUUUCUCAAUCACGAUAACCGACAGACAAUGGAGAAGAAUGUGUUUUUGAAUUCAGGUACCAAAGUCUUGGAACAGCUAACUUGGCAAAGCUAAGAAGUUCUUAGAAAUAACACUUUUUUAACAUAUUCAGUUCUUAUAAACACUUCAACAGACAAUCUCUUGUAGUGCCCAAGAAUUAGGAAGCAUAGUUUUCUUUAAAGCUCUAAAUUUCCAAAAGAAUGCAAGAUAUAAUAAUGGAUGCAUUGGGAAACAGAUAGCUAGAAAUGAUGCAAAACUAACCUUCUCUCCAUCAGCAAGCUUUUAAAGAAAAUCAGUGACGGCUGUAUAUAUUGAGAUAAGCUUGCGAUGUUAUUUGUGUCAAAAGAAUGAAUGCCUGAACCAGUUAAAUCAACUACAGUAACUCUAUAUCCAACUUCUUCUAAGAGUGCAAUGGUUUUAUACCAACACCAGGCCCCAAAUCCACCACCAUGAAUGAGGACGAAAUGGUUCAUCUCUAAAUCAUCAACGCUCAAUUACUGCCAAAGAUAAACAUCUAGAAGACUGAACUUAGACAAACUCACCAUGACACAAUAGUAGCAAGCACAUCGUUUUUAAGGGGAAUGAACCCAUACGGAAUAAAAAUACAUUCUUGACCAAGUCUCAGCUAAACCUACAAAAUGGCUCACUUUCUAUCAUUUUCUUUUCAGAUUAUGGGUAGUAAUUAGUACUAGAAAGAAGUUGGACUAAAAUGUCCACUUCUACAGAAAAAUGAAUCAUCCUUAUGGCCUCACCUGCAGAUCUGAGCUUCCGCAGAUCUGCAUACCGCCAAGAGGAUUAAUGUUUCCUUGGUCAUACAAUACUUUGUAUAGGUGAGAUGCAUUAAAAACAUUAAUUUGUGUAUAUACAUGCUUACUGAAUUCCUAGACACAACAAACAAUUUACUAAAGCAAUGUUCUGGGGGGUUUGAAAUGAUGUACAAGCUUUUAUUAAGUUGUGUGUUUUUUCAUUUUUGCCAAAACCUUUUACCCAACUUUUUUUUUUCUAUUCUUAAAACAAUUACUUAGACAAUGUCAUUUUGUAUCUUCACAAAUGUAUUUUUAUUUUCUAUAAAAUGUAGGUGGUACGAAAUGAAGGAUGGACACCAUGUUCUGCUACCCUGCAUAUUAUUAUAGUUAAAUACUUUCAAGCAAGUGAAUUUUCGAAGUUAUUCAAUGAUGCAUUGAAGAAUUUACCUACCUUUAAGUUAGUUUUGAGUUUAAUAAAUUUGAAGUUACUCGUUUUUUGCCAGAUCUGGGCGGGUUCGUUGACGGGUGGAGGACGACGGCGGGUAGGGGAUUAGAGCAGCGGCGGGGUCCGCCGUCUGGUGGUGUGAGGGCUGCGACAUCGCUGCUUGACUGAUGAUGGAGAGAAAUUUUAGGGAGAGAGAGAUAUUGUAGAGAGAGAGGGAGAGAAGGUGCGGCUGUUUGUGGAAAUGGAUUAGGGUUCCCCUCUUUUUUGUGUAUAAAGGAAAUGAGGUAAGAUCUUGAUCUCAGUCAUUGGAUAAUUUCUGAUCAAGAUUAGAAUAAUUUUUAAAAAAAUGAGUUAAAAUUUAGAAUUAAUAUCAAAUUGGCUAAAAAUUGAAUAUAAAUGGCUAGAAUUGUAAUAGAUUAUAUAAAAUUGAAUAGAAAGUGGUUAGAAUUUAAAUGAAUAGUGAACUUGAAUUGAAUUAGGCUACUAGAUAAUAAUGAUGAGAACAGAAUAAUAAGGCGCAUGUGAAAUUAUAUAAAUUAUCGAUAUUGAUAAUAAUAAAGACAAUGCAUUUAUAAAUUGUGAGUGUGCAUAUUUACAAAAAAUAAUUUAAUAAAUAUUAAUAAAAUUACAGAAAAUGAUGUAUCUGAACUAAUAAAUCAUAAAAAUGAUAUCAAAAGUUAAUAAAAUAAUUUUAAAUUAUGAAUGUGACACGUCAAAAAUCUAUUUGAUGCGAGAAAAAUGUGCAAAAUGUACUAACAAUUAAUAUUGAUAAUUUUGCAAAAAUAGCAGCCUAAAAAUAGUAUCGGUAGGUCAAAAUGGAUGUCAACAUUAGUCGUUGGAUCAAUUUUGAUCAAUGACUAAGAUUAAAAUUACUUUAAAACGGGUCAAAAAUUGAAUUAAUAUCAAUUUGGUUAAAAUUGACAUUAAUUGUGUACAAGAUGGCUAGAAAGUAAACACAUUGAGAAAUAAAUAAAGACAAUGCAUUUGUAAAUUGUGAGUGCGCAUAUUUAUGUAAAAAUAAAUAAAUAUUAAUAAAAAUUAUGUAAAAUGUCAGAUUUGAAUUAAUAAAUUGUGAAAAAUAAUAAUUUAAUAAAUGUGGAAAUGAUGAGAAAAAUAGUAAGAUGUCGAUAUUAAAAUAAACUAAACAUGUAAGAAUCAAUGUUACAUAAAAUUACUAUAUAAAAUAGCAGCCUGAGAGGGGUAUAGUGAGGUCGAAAUUGAGUGUCAACACAAUUAAAUCGAUUUAGUCCCACAAAUUAGGUCUGUAGAGGGUACAGUGUACACAUCCCUUCUCGAAAACCUAUUCAAGCUUGAAGAUUCUUGUAAAAUAAAACACAUAUGCAGGAUUUUUGUUGCAAUUAAGAUUUUGUUUUUUUUUCUUGUUGAUUAGUUGCUACUAUUUCUAUUUUAUGCAUAUUUUCUUAUUGGUUAAAUCGAAAAACGAACUGUUAAGGACUAAAAAUUGAUAAAUAAAAAACUGAUAAAAAAUACCUUAUUGAUUUGAUUAUUGGUUUAACUUAUUUAAAAAUGGAUAACCGAUAAACUAAAUCGAUAAUAUAUAAAAUCAAACUGAACCAACCGAUGCAUACGCCUUAUUUUAAGAAAAAAAUAAUGAAAAUUGAUUUUAAUAUUGACCGUUAAUCAAAUAUGACGAACGGUUGAGACUAAAAUUGAGGAGAUAUGUCAAAAAGGGAUUAGAAAUUGGGUUAAAAAAAGAUUGAAUUGGAGAUUUCGAUUACGUUAAUACAACAUAUUAAUAUGAUGAAUUAUCGGUUAAUUGACUUCAUUAUUAUAACUUCAAUAGUGUAUUAUUACCUCGAUCAUAUGAUGUUAACGUAUUAUUCAAAAUAGAGAAAAUGGUCAAAAGCCCCCUAACCUUUACCUCAAAUCCUAACUACACACUUAUACUUUACAGGGGGCCUAUGACCCCCCUGAACUAUUUUAAAAUUGAAUUAUUACCCCCUUUAACUAUUUUAAAGUGGAAUAUCUACCCGUCUAAAAGCCCAUACCCAGAUUUUAUUUUAAUUUGUGGUCUACACGCGCUACCAAGUGUCAUUCCACAUAAUUCCACGUCAUAUUUUUUUUAACUAUAAAAACUUAAUUCCACAUCAUAUGCCAUUCAAUUCUUCUUCUUCUUCUUCUUCUUCUUCUUCUUCUUCUUCUUCUUCUUCUUCUUCUUCUUCUUCUUCUAUUUUUAUUACUUCUUCUUCUUCUUCUUCUUCUUCUUCUUCUUCUUCUUCUUCUUCUUCUUCUUCUUCUUCUUCUUCUCCUUCUUCUUUAAUGGCAUACUGAAUCAUAUGGAUUGCAUACGAUAGAUAAUCUUAUCAAAAUCAAAUCAACAAUUAAUGUCCAAAUAUAUUCAAUUUUUACUAAAUUCGACAUUAUUUCAACAUUCAAAAUUCGAUGUCCAUCGACACUGGACAGUGAUAGUGACAGCAAAAUUCAAAAUUACGGUGACUUUAUUUUUUUGAUGAAUUUCAACCUUCUCAGCGUUAAUCAAUUUUUUGGGGAGCUAAGGAAUGAUUCUAACCCAGAAAUUAAUUUAAAUUUUUCUAUCUAAAUUGAUUCAAUAUUCUCACGUAAUUCGAGUUCUUGAAUGCCAUUGAAGAAGAAGAAGAAGAAGAAGAAGAAGAAGAAGAAGAAGAAGAAGAAGAAGAAAAACUGAACAAGAAGAAGAAGAAAUAAAGAAGAAAUAAAAAGAAUAAUUAAAAUUAUAUAUAUUUAUUUAAAAAAUAUUAAAAAUAAAUUUUUAAUAAAUUAUUUUCAUUCUCACUCUCUUUUAAAGAGAGUGAAACACACUCUCUUGCUAUGUCAGCGUUGGGGGAGGUAAUUACAUACAUCACUAUACGAGAGAUACGUAUAUAUAUAUAUAUUUUAUUGACUAUCAACUUUGUGAUAUGUACUAUAUAUAUCACAGACACGAGUAUAUUACCUUGCAAUACAACAUAUUUUAUUUCAUCACAUACACGAGUUUAUUACCUUGCAAUAUUUUAUUUCUACUCUGAUGAAUUAUCGUUUAAUUUAUUAGCUUAUAUUAUUAUAUUAUAACUUCAACAAUAUAUUAUUACCUUGAUCAAUCGAUCGUAUGAUAUCAAUAUAUGCAAUAUAUAUAGUUGAUUGACUAUAAAAUUCACAGUAUGUACUAGAUACAUCACAUACAAAUGUAAAUUACCUCAUAAUACAACAUUUUGUAUACAUACAAUGAUAAAUUAUCAUUUAAUUUAGCUUAUAUUAUUAUAUUAUAACUUCAACAGUAUAUUAUUUUUUUGAUCAAUCAAUCGUAUGAUAUCAAUUUAUUCAAUAUAUAAUUGAAUACAUUUAAUUUUUUUAAAUAUAAGUUUUUUUUAUUUAACAGUAAAUUAAAAAUAUCAAAUAUCGAUGGACGGUGUCGUUUUCAUAAUGUUAAUUUUUAUUUAGUUUUAACAAAAGUGAUGUUGACUGUCUCUUUUUGUAAAAAAUAAAAAAAGAUUAAAAAUAUUACAAAUUGCGAUGGACAACGUUGCUUUUCUAGAAUUAAUAUUUUAAAAAAUAAAAAUUAUAGCGACGUUGUCCGUCGUUUUUAAUAAAAAUAAAUAAAAAAUAAAAAUUAAAUUUAAAAAGCAAUGGACAACGUCGAUUUUCAAAAAAUUAAUUUUUAUUUAGUGUUAAAAAAAAGUAACGUUGUCCGUUACUUUUUCUAAAAAUAAAAAAAAUUAAAAAUAAUUAUAAAUUGUGACGGUCAACGUCGCUUUUUCAGAAUUAAUAUUUUAAAAAAUAAAAAUUAUAGCAACGUUGUCUGUCACUUUUGAUAAAAAUAAACAAAAAUAAAAAUUAAAUUUAAAAAGUGAUGGACAACAUCGCUUUUAAUAAAAAUAAGUAAAAAAAAAAUUAAAUUUAAAAAUUAACGGACUACGCCGUAUUUUAAUAAAUAAUUAUUAUUAUUUUUUAGUAAAUAACAACGUUGUCCAUUGCUUUUAUAAAAAAAAUUAUAAAUUAUUUUUAAUUACUUGACACAAAAAUUCCUGAAAAAAAGAGACAGAUAUUAAGACGUUGGCCGUCACUUUUAAUAAAAUUUAAAUAAAAAUUAAAAUUAAACUAAAAAAGCGACGACAGACGUUGCUUUUCUCAUCGCCUUUUAAAGCGACAUAGUCUGUCGCUUCAUUUUGCAUCGCUUUUUGGCCAUUUUUAGUAGUGUUCAGUGAAUAAGACAAUGUAUAGAGAGAAUAUUGGAUCCUUGCUAUAUCUUACAAGUAAGCCUGACAUUGUUUUCAGUGUAGGAAUGUGUGCUAGAUCUCAAGAGGACGGGGGACCUGGUCCUAUACUAUCCAUCAGGAGACAGUUUUGACUUAGUAGGCUAUGCUUAUGCUGACUAUGCUAGAUAUUUACUAGAUAGAAAAAGCUCUUUAGGAAUGGCACAUUUAAUUGGCUCAUCCUUAAUCUUCUGAGAUUUGAAGAAGGAAAAUUCAGUAGCUCUAUCGACUGGUGAGGCUGAAUAUAUUUCUACAGUUUCUUGUUGUGCACAACUACUAUAGAUCAAGUAGAAAUUGAAAGACUUGGGUAUUAUCUCAGAUACCAUCCCUCUAAUAGGUGAAAAUAGAAAUAAUCUAAACAUAGCCAAGAAUCCACUACAACAUAAAAGGACUAAGCACAUUGAUGUGAGGCAUCACCUCCUAAGAGAUAAUGUUUAGACAGGGGAAAUCUGCAUAAGGACAAUGUUGAGAAAGAGGAAAUCUGCAUGAAGUUUUACAAGACUGAGGAUCAGAUAGAAGAUAUUUUUACAAAGGCACUUCACAAGGAAUAAUUUGUAAAAAACAGGCUGAGGUUAGGCCUGAUCAAAAUGACCUAACCUACCAUGUGAAUCAGUAGUUCUUUACAAAAUUGGCUAUGAUCAGGAGACAGGUAUCCUUAGUAAAAUAUGUAGUUGUUAGUCUAAAUUAGUAUCAUACCUUUGCAGGCAUACACCCAUGGGAAUAGCUUUGGAAGAAAAUAGAUGAUGUAUGUACAAAUGUGAGAAAUCACUCAAAGAUAGAGAGGGACCAGUCCCAUCUCUCAGGUUAGUAUCAUAAAUGUGCAUGCUUUUCUUCUUGUUCUACUAGAGAAGGCCACAUUCUAUCUCCCGAUGUUAUAAAACUUGUCUAAGGAAAAACUAAAAUCAAUUUUAUCAUUGCAUUAACCCAAUGGACCCUAUUCAAAUCAACUAUCUAAAUUAUCCAAAGACAAAUCCUUUUCUUCACUUACUCUCCUAUUGAAGAUUUUUCCCCAAAAAUUUUCUCCUUUGACAGUGUGAAAGAAAGUUUGGAUGGUCUAAGGAACAAAAUAACAGACUAAAAACAAAGCUUUCAUCAUUAAUUCUGAACAUCCUAUUAAAAGGCACCAGAUUUUUGAGGGACUCGAUCACAUGAAAAAGAAAAUCCUGAUGAUGAUCCGCAGGACUUGUAAAAUAAUAAAAACACAAGACAAAUGCUAGAAAAUAAAGAAAUUAGGUGAGUUCUAGUGGAAAAUCAGAAAAGUGAGAACUCAAGAUGAAGGUUGUAAUUCUAACUAAUGAGGCUUCUGAACUUGAAUUGUUGUACUGUCAUAAGAUGACCUCAUGUCUCCCAACCUUCUACCACAAUCCUCCACCUUUUUCUCUAACUUCUAUGAAUUUUUUUAUAGAACUUGAAAUGUAAUUCUUGCACUGAAAUAAUACAUAAUCCAUUGGACAUGAAUGUGUUCUUGCUUUUGUGCUCUUUAUAUGGUUCUACCUUAAAAGUGUUCUUUAUGAUUAGUAUUUCCCAGUGGCCAUAAGUUAACAAACUUGUGCUUACUGUUGCUCUUGGUUUACUAUUCUAAAUUUUCAAUGAUACUAAAAGGGGUAAUACUCAUUGAUAUCAUGUGAAGGAAGGUAACUCAAGAGAGCAAAACUAGAAAGUGUUCAUAAACUAUACAUGUUAACAGAGGGAAAAAUAAUGUGAUGAGCUACAAUGAAGGUAUGUAGUCUAACAAUAAGGAAAAAUAUGAAAACGCACUAAAUAAGUUAUGGUGAAUAAAGAAAGUAAUUGAAGCCUGAUAAGUAAUUGACAACAAGGAACCAAGUCCCUGCGUUGCAUGAUGGAGGAAGCAUGAUGAUAGGGGGAACAUUCAUCUUCAGGUGGUAAUCAUACUAAUUAAAUGUGAUGAAUGUACACUGGUUCUCAAAAUUGUAUGGUUGGUUUGUCAUCAUCAAAAAGAGGGAAAAUUGCUAUAUGUAGUUUUGAUGAUGAGCAGCUAACUUCAAGGGACCUGAUGUGCAAGGCAAAGUAUAGCUGGCACACAUUGUCUGCAUAAUUUUGUCCUCUUGUGUAAAAAACUUGCAGGUGUUAUUUUGUACUGAUUAGGAUAGUUGGUCAAAUGAUAUUUUUGUCCUAAUCAUACUCAACUAGAAAAGGAAAGAGAAACUUCUUCAUCAAAUGAGGUUUUUACAAUUAAAAAGAGGGAAGAGACAUAGAAGCAAAAACUCCACUGCUCAAGUUCUUAGCUAUUUAUGUGAGAUGAAAUUGAACUUGUUCUUGAUUUAGUAAUGAUUUGUAACUGAACUAUUCAUGCUUAAAAAGUAGUGUUUUUCUCUUUGAGUAGAGAGUGCUUAGGUGGAGUUACCUAAGUGUAAGGAUGAUUAGAGUUAAUCAUCGUAGAGAGUCCUUGAUAGAGUUGCCAAGAUAAGCUUGUAGUAGAUUUAUUACAAACGAAGGAAGCCUAAAGGUAGGCUGAAAUCUAGAAUACAAUCAGAAGGUUGAUUAUAAUGGAUUCUUAGGUGUUUGUGAGGGAAGGAUGUAGUUUUUUCCUUUCUAGGUUUCCACGUAAAAUUCUUGUGUUUUUACCUUUUUACACUGCAUUUAUUUUUCAAGAACCUCAUAGUUGCUUUACUAUUGUAUUGCUUGUGAUUGAAUUUAAAGGACCUGUUCCCUCACUGUGUAUUGCAACCCACAAGGGUUCCAACAAGAUAAUAAAUCAAUACCAAAACCUAAAGCAAAACCCUUAGUUCAUAAACCCGAAGAAAGAAAUUCAAUUUCCUGCAGUUCUGAAGGUGAAGAUAUGGCGUCCUUACAUGAUAAUUCAGAUAUUGUUAUUAUUCAUAACUCAGAGGAUGUAAAUUCUAAAAAAUCUGACCAUAAUGAGGAUAUUGCUGAUGUUUGUAGUUCCAAGUUGAAUGAUUCUUCAGGUGAGUCUAUUGAUCCCAAUAUUUCUAGUGAGAAAAGUAAAAAGUUGCAACCUAUAGGUGUUAGGAAAGGAAAAAAUACUCAAAAAAUAAUAUGGAGAGGGAUGGUCAUGUAUAUAAUUCUUCUGCUGGUGCGACUAAUUUUGGCAUACCUUUUUUCUUCUCUUAAUAUGCCUUGGUGUGCUGUAGGUGACUUCAACAUGAUUACUUUUAUUAAUGAAAAGUUAGGGGGUGUUCCUUACAACAUAAGAAAGAGAUUUGAUUUUAUUGGGGCUAUUGAAGCUUGUGGUCUGAUAGAUAUUGGGUUUAGUGGUCAGAUGUUCACCUGGCCCAACUUAAGAGGGAUCAAUUUAAGAAAAAAGGUUGGAUAGAACCUUAGUCACUGAUGUUUGGCUAAAGAAAAUGCCCCUUACUACUAAUACUCAUUUUUUUGUGGGUUCUGAUCAUUGCCCUGUUUUAUUACAAAUGCAAGAUAGACAUGACAAUCACAUAAAAUACUUUAAGUUCUUAAAAUUCUAGGUUGAUAACAAAUCUUUCUUGAAAACUGUUGAGAACUGCUGAAGCAAACCUGGUGAGGGUGAUCCUAUAUGGAUUUUUCAUCAAAAAAUGAAAAGACUAACUAACACUCUUAGUCACUGGCCCAAGAAAGAAUUUGGUGAUAUUUAUUAUAAAGUGAAAAAGUAUGAAGAUAAGGGUAGACCUAUGUAAGAAGAGCUGAUUCAUAACAACAAUGAUGAAAAUAGGUUAAUUUACACCAUUUGAAUGCUGAAUAUAUCAUAUUUCUGAAACUAGAAGAGUCAAUUUUCAAGCAAAAAGCUUAAUUACACUGGUUCAAGGAUGGAGAUACUAAUUCUAGAUAUUUUCAUGCAUUAAUUAGAGGUAGGAUAAAGUAGUUAUUUAUCCACAGAAUCAAGAAUGAAGAAGGCAAUUAGGUAUAAGGUGAAGGUGAAAUUGCUGCAGCUGCCAGUGUAUAUUUUUAACAGAUUUUUACUGGUAAAGAGGAAGUGAUUCUUGAAGAUUACCUCAAUUGCAUUCCCAUAAUGGUCAGUGUUGAACAGAAAAACAUUCUCAUGAAGAUCCUACUCUUGAUAAGCUUAAAAUAGUAGUUUUUUCAAUGAGUACUCAUUUUGUAGCUGGUCCUGACGGCAUAAAUGGUAAAUUUUUUCAAACUUGUUGGCCUAUUAUUAAACAUGACCUCUUAAAAGUUGUUCAAUCUUUUUUUUGUGGUCACAUUAUGCCUAAAUAUUUUUCCCAUGCUUGUUUGGUUUAGCUCCCAAAAGUAGAUCAUCCUAAUAAACUUUCAGAAUAUAGACCCAUAAGCUUGAGUAAUUUCACUAAUAAAAUUAUUUUCAAGAUGAUUAGUCUCAGACUAGCACCAAUUCUUCCCAAUUUGAUUUCACCCAACCAAUCAGGAUUCAUGAAAGGCAAAAUUUUUUUGGAAAAUAUUAUGCUUGCCUAGGAAAUCAUCCAUAGUAUCAAGAAGCCUAAUGAAGGAGGAAAUGUUUUGAUUAAAUUAGACAUGGCAAAGGAUUAUGACAGGGUUUCUUGGUACUUUACUUGUCUAGUUCUCAGGAGAAUAUGUUUUAGAGAAGGUAUUAUUGAUAUGAUAUGGAGAAUUAUGUCCAAUAAUUGGUAUUUCGUGAUAGUUAAUGGGUCUAGACAUGGUUUCUUCCAUUUUACUAGAAGCUUAAAGCAAGGUGAUCCUCUUUCUCGGGCUCUUUUCAUCUUGGGUGCUGAGGUUCUUUCAAGAAUGUUGAACAAUUUACAUCACCAUCAUUUGUAUCAUGGUUUUACUAUAGAGCAGAAGGGUCCUCAAGUUAAUCAUCUGAGUUUUGCUGAUGAUGUGAUAAUAUUUACAUUCGGGAAAAGAUCCACUCUGAUACUUAUUAUGCAGGUUCUUACUGAUUAUGAGCAGGUGUUCGGGCAACUUAUUAAUGGAGACAAAAUUGACUUCAUGCUUCACUCAAGUGCCUUUCCUAGUACCAUCAAUAGAAUCAAGCAAGAAAUGGGUUUUAAGCAGAAGAUGAGUUCUAUUACUUACCUAGGAUGCCCCAUUUACAUAGGCAGACAAAGAAUCAUCUUCUAUUCUGGUUUGGUUUCUAAAGUAGCGGCAAAAAAUAGUGGCUGGCAGACUAAAUUCCUUAAUUACAGAGGUAGAGCAACUCUUAUUAAGUAUGUACUUCAGUCCAUUUCUAUUUACAUACUAUCGGCAACUGUUCCUACUAGGACCAUUCUUAAACAAAUUUGAGCUUAUUUGCUGAUUUCUUUUGGGGGUGAACUGAUAACAAAAAUAAAUACCAUUGGUCUUCAUGGAGAAAUCUUACUUACCCUACAGAAGAAGGUGGCAUUGGUACCAGACAUCUCAAAGAUAUUUAUGUUGCUCUUUAAUUUAAGUAGUGGUGGAUUUUUAGAUGUAAAGAUACCUUGUGGGGUGACUUUCUCAGAGCUAAGUAUUGUAAAAUAGCUCAUCCAGUUAUCAAGAAAUGGCAUGUUGGUAAAUCUCUAGUCUAGAAACACAUGAUACACAAAAAACAAAUUGCUGAAAAUCACAUUCAUUGGAGAUUGAAAUCUGGUACUUGUUCCUUUGGGUGGGAUGAUUGGCUAGGCAUUAGUCCGAUUCAUUACUAUAGAAGAGAGCCUAUUAUAUCUAAUAAUAUAAAAGUUAAUCAGCUAUGGGUGCAAGGUGAAUGGUAUAUUGAAAGGCUCAAUCAGCUGCUACCUCCAGUUAUAAUUCAUCAUAUCAUGAAAACUCAAUUUCAUUUUCAAGAAGGAGUUGAUGGCCAACUUGUUUGGACACCUAAUACUAGUAGUAAGUUCACGAUUUCUUUGGCCCUGGACCUCAUAAGACCUCACAGAAGUAGGACAAUGACAAACAGGUAUAAUUGGCAUAAGUAUGUUCCUUUUUAGUGUUUUUUCUUUUAUGGAGAGCAAUAAGAGGAAAAUUACCUAUUGAUGAGAAGUUAACUUUUUUCGGACAUGAGUCAUCAUAUUGUCAUUGUUGUUAUAAUCCAGGACCUGAUACUAUUAGCAUAUAAUGGUUAGUGGUCUUUUUGCAAGAAAUAUCUGGUAAUUUUCUCUAACUCUUUAGGGAUUAAUCACACCACAAUGCCUCUUAGAAAUCUGAUAAUGAGAUGGUGUAUCCUUGGACAUAAAAAUGAAACUCAUAAGAAAGUUCUUCAUGCUAUCCAUAUAUUCAUUUGCUGAAAAUUAUGGAAGAAUAGAUGUACGGUUAAAUAUAGAGGCAAGACAUCAAACCUAGCUAGAUUAAAAUUUCUGAUCUUCAAGAAUAUUUCCAUGCUUUUAAUCAUUAAUUUUCCAUACAUCUCUUGGCCUUAAAACUGGAAAAACAUGGUGAUAUUUUUGGAGGGUGUUACUAGAUGACUAGGGUACAAGAGGUUGGUUGGGUCAAGCCUACUAUUUAUGUGGUGAAGUUGAAUACAGAUGGUAGUCCGCUUGACAACCCCGGUACGAUUAGAGCCGGAGGUGUAGUGAGAGAUUAUCAGUGAGAUCUUAUUUUUACAUAUACCAUCCCUCUUAGGUUUGGAAUUAACAAUCAAGCCGAAAUAGAAGAAGGUAGAUUGGUCUCAAUUGGUGUUUAUAAAAUGGUUAUACGAAGGUUAUUUUAGAGGUUCUUGACAAUAUCAAAGGAAUCAUGACACAGCUGGAGGAGUUUACUUGUAGGCAUACUUAUCAAGAAGCAAAUUUUGUAGCCGAUUCUUUAUCUAAAAUCAGUAACAAAUAUGAUAUUUCUCAAUACUACUUCAAUUUCCAGCAGUUACCAGAAGAAAUAAGAGGACAUAUCGUACUUCACAAACUUGGGAUGAUUAAUUUUAGAAGAAGAAAGAUAAAGAGAAUCAAAGAGCCACCGUGAAGCAUUGUGAAUUUGUAAUAGAGGACUUGGUAACUCCUUUGUAGUGUUUCAUUGCUGAUUUCACCAUCGAUCUUUCCUUCUUCAUCUAGGCUUCAUUAUGAUAGGCUAUUUUACAAUCUUUUUGUAUGAGUGUUUUCCUUUACUUUGUAAGGGUAGAGUCUCCCUUAUUUAUGCUUUCCUAGAUGAUAUUGUACUAAGAGAAGUCUUCUCUUCUAGGUUCUUAGAUCUAGGUUUCUUUUUUAGUAUCAGGGAUGAGAUGACUGGCCUUAGUAGGCUUGUUGACUUUGACCUGCCAUAGGAUCAGAGGUAAGGUUUAUGCCCCUCUCCUUGUACUUUCUUUUGCUUUUAUUUAUGAUAAGGCUUGGGGUUGUGUGGCUCAACCCCUGACUGCCACGGGAGGUGAGAGCCCCGGGUAAGGUCCGCUCUCCAAAAAAAUAAAAAAAUAAAAAAACCAUAGAUAUAUAGUAAAAGAGGAAAUAUAAUUAAAGAUACCAAACCAAAUCCCAGAAAUGGUGUCACAUAUAAGAACCAACUAAUACUACUCAAAGUCAAAAUAAACAUAGGAUAUCCAAAAGGGAACAAACUCUGACUCUGAGUACAAUAAGACAUAAUUUAAAUAAGAAAAGGUAGUGGAAAACUUUGAAUGCAUAGAUCAAUUGCUACCUCAAAUAGUCUUAAAAUGCUGCCUGAAUUAGCUUUUUGUGUAGUGCACCUAUACCUAAAUCUUCACAGAAAGGGCAUAGUAAGGAUGAGUAUGGUAUAUUUGUACUCAGUAGGUAUCAUAGGCCGACUGAGUAAAUUAGAAAAUAAAGCAUAUAAACAUAAACUAUGGGCAUGUCACCUGCAGUCAUAAAAUGUUCCAUAUGGUAGCCCUCAUCAUCUCUACUAAUAGUUAUACUAUAUAAAAUAUAACAAUAACAAGUAGGGGAAAGAUAAACAAGGAUACACAUACUUCGAAUACAAGUACACGAAGAUAGGAAAAUGGAAUAAUAUCAAGUCACAAAUAGAAAUACAAUUACGUAAUCAAUAUAACAUAUGGAAUGCAAUAAAGAUGUAGAUGAUGCACAAGGUCAUCACACAACCUCCAUAUAUAUCUAUCAAACUUAGCUAUGAAAGUAAGACCAAUGGAAGGUUCAUCAACCUACAUCUACCAUGCUAUUCCCAUAGGUAGAACCCAUGGAGGGUUUGUCAACUCGUAUAAAACCAUUUAGAAUUUCCAUGGUAGUACCAAUGUCAUAUUUUCUGUCAAAGAAGUCUCUAUUUUCAGUAUUUCUAGUAUUUCCAUGGUAGUACCAAUGUUUUAGGAAUGAAUAUGAUAUGAGGAUGUAAGUCUCACAAUUAACCAAAAUGUGAAUAUCUAAUGUCCAACCAAUAUCUAAACUUGCGAGCCAAAAAUCCACUCAAAUCAACCAACCAUCCAUGAUCUAAUAUAAUCCAUAAACCAUCAAGUGAAUCAUACAAAAAAUGCCAUUGAUACCAUAUAAAAUAUAAAAAUAUAGGAUUUUCCACCAAAAAGAAUGCAACCCAAUAUUCAUAUAUCAGUAUUAGGACAACAAUCUUAUAUAAGACCUCACACGGUCACACAUAGUAUAUAAUAUAUUAGACCCACCAAGUAUUACCCACGUAGGCCCCCAUACAGGCACAUAAUUCACCUAAAGACAUUUUCCAUGAUAAAACCCCAUACCUAUAUUAUGCUUUUACAUUAUUAUUAACUACCCAACCCAAUCUUAAGAGAGCUAAGACAUAACACAUCUCAAAUGAAAGAAUCCUUCUCCAAAAAGCUUCAACUACAAAGCCUUUCCCUCAUAAACAAUCUCUAAUUCAAUUAAAACAUACAAAUAAAUAAUCUAUGCAUCAAAAUAAAUUCAAAGAUAUCCAUAUUUCCCACUUCCAAAUUAGGGUCAAAGCACACCACCGGAAUGGAUUUUUGAAAAAGAAGGGUAAAACUUGAAUUUUUGUCCAAAAAUAUCUUUACCAAGAUUAAAAGAACUUAUAAGAGAAAAUUCAAAAAACAGAGUGAAAUUGGGGUUAUCAAAGAAAGAAUCAUUUUUUUCUUUCAAACCAAAAUCCCCAAAUUUCAUCUUUAAAUCCAUGCUUAACUAAGGUUUAAAUAAUAAAAUCAAAGAAAGUAGUUGAAAUAGGAUUUUACAGCUCACCCAAGCUUAGAAAUGGAAUAAAAUGCCCAAAACUUGAUCCCCAAGCUUCAAGUCUUGAAAAUAGUGAAGACAAAUCAAGAAAAAGAUUAUUCAUGCCUAGGUUCUAGGUGUCGCUAAAGCGGUUAAGUAGCCACUUUAGCGAUCAUCGCUAAAGCGGUGAAGUACAGCUUCAGUGGUGCCCACUUAGCAUCCUAGUCCACUAAAGCGAACAAGAGCUGCUUUAUCACCUACCGCUAAAGUGGAUGAGGGAUGCUAAAGCAACCUUGCCCAGCUGGUAAACACCCACUAAAGCGACCAAGUGGAGCUUUAGCACCUACCAUUAAAGUAACCAAAAUGGUGCUUUAGCGGCUUCCCCAACUGAGUGGUACAUCAGAUAUGGGGACUUGGAAUUCAAAUUCUCUGUAGACCCCUCGGUAUUCAUUUAGAAUCACGAGAAUACAAAUAAACUAUGUUACCCAAUCAAAUUUAAUGCUCCAAACUCAAAAAUAAUAUUGGAUUUUAAAAAAAAUAUUAUUUUCACAGAAUUGAACCCCGAGACCUAUUUUCAUGACUUUCCAUGAGGGUCAAAACAAGACAUAAAAAUUAUAAGCCAUGCAAACCAUGUUAACAACCUAAAAUCAAUAUUUUAAAUCUGUUGGCACAACCCGUUUUUCCAUUUGAUGCAUAUAUAAAAAUAUGUUGACCAAAGUAAACUAAUAAGUCUUUAAUACUUCCAAAAAGCAAAAUAUUGUAUAGACCACACGAAAAUAAAUUGGGAAAAUGCCAAUUAUCCUUAGUCUCCAGAAAUAUCAUAAUACAACUACGAAAUAGGUUAAAAUGGUCAAAUCAUAUAGAAAUAAAUAUUUCACAUAAAUCACCAAAAGUUAAGUCGUUACACCACAUCUUUAUCUCGUAUGGGUGUUGAGAUUACCCACCAAGGUUGGGUUAGGGUAUGUUCCAUCAUGACUUUGACUUUUGGGUCGUGACAUACAAAUACAAAAGUUGGUAUGAAUUCUAUGAACCAGCAUAUGAUCAUGUGAAUCAAAUAUUAUAUUAAUGAUUCAUAUGGUUUUAUCACAUAUGUAGUUCAAUUUAUUGCUUUCACUUAUGGGUUAAGAGAAGAGAUUCCAAUACAAAAGAAAUAAAUGACGUUUGAGAUGAUUUUUCAAUCUUUUAUACCAGGUAAUCUGGUAUCCUUAUGCAUAAAGAUAAUCAAUUCAAUCAUUGUGGAUUUCUAAUUGAAUUCUCCAUAAGAUCCUUUUACCUCUUCCUUUUCUAAGUUCAAGAAUCUGAACAUAAUUUAGAACAAAAAAUAGAUUCCAACUACCGUUUUGACUGUAUAUUAAUGCAAACAUAUUUAUAAGUUAGCAGGAAAACAGAUUUCUUGAGAAGUAGAACAAAUAUUAAGGAUAAAAAUGAAAUAGAUAGUUAGUUGAAAUAAAAAAAAUUAUGAAAUAAAAAUAUUAAUUUAUUCAAAAAUACUUGUAUUUAGAGCUAUACUUCUAACUUCAUUCUUGGUCUUGUCUACUAAAGCAUAAAGUUUGAGAUCAUUACUCUAGCAAGUUUGGGAAUUCAUACCUUAAUAAAAGAUGCUACACUAGUAAAUAUAAGAAGAAUAUCCAAAUUUAUAUUCUAAGUUGCCUGGUAUAGUACAGGUGGCAGGUGAUAGGUAUUCCGUAGAUUUAGUCGAGAGUGUGAAAGCUGGGUUAGAGGCCAUGUUUAUAAUAUUAUAUAUAUAUAUGUAUAUAUAAAAUUAUUAUUUAAUUAUGGAAAAUUUUAAUCCCAGGUUAUGUGUGUGUUUUGAACUUUAGAGACAUUUAUAAUUUAAAAAACAAGGAAAAUAUUGAGUACUAUAUGAAAUUAAACAACUUUUCCCUCUAUUGCCUUUAGGUCCAAUCGUACCUCUCUUAAUAUUAAGAAAAUAUUGUUAGCCCCCUAAAUAGGUUUAAAUGGUGACAUGUCAGUCAAAGUAUUUUUUUAGGAUCAAGAGAAAAAAAAAGCAGAAAGCUAUAAAAGUGUAUACAAGGAGUUGAUUACAGUCCAAGGAUUAUAGAUUACAAUUGCAAGAUCAAAGGCAUGGAAUCCAAAAUUAUUGAUAUGCUCAAGUCCAAUAAGGAAAGAAUUAAAAUAUGUGAAGAUCGAUACUCAAAUUACACAAGGAAAGGGAAAUAUUACACAAUCAUCACACAUAAGGAAAAUAGAGGAUCACACAAUCAAAUUAGAACACACAAGGAAAUAAGAAGAUCAUAUGAUCAAAGAGGAUCAAACAUAAUCUGUAUAAGGCAAAAACACAUCCUAUAAUGGAAUUUGUGGUAGAUUAAUAAAGGAGGGAGCACACACACACACACUAACAUAUUUAAUAUAAAUGUGUAUAUUUAAUCAUGGAAUUAAUUGAUAUGUUAGAAAUUAAUGGCAUAUUUGAUGUUUCUUGAAAAAGGAUUUUUAUAGUUCUUAAGUGCUUUUUAGUGUUUGUUUCAGGGAAACAAGUCAUGUGCACAAAAUUUGGAUUUUUUUUGUAUAAUUUAAAGAAGUAUGAGCAUGAAUAUAAAGGACUGAUCAUUGAGUAAGUCGUGGACCAAAUAUAGGAAGUUUCUGAUUACCAAAUAAGAAUGGGAAGAAGGACGAGCUAUGAAAUUUAUUUACGGACCUCAAAUUCGAUUGCAAGAAUAUGGUGGAUUCUUGAGCUAAGAUUGAUUUCAAACCAUGGUUUAAGUGGUGAACCAUCAAUCUAGUUCACUAAUCGUGGAUUGAAUUGUGAGCUUUUGGAGAUCCAUUCUUUGACAAUGAAUGACUUCACGGUUGUCCUCAAGCCUUUCACAGACCAUAGAAGCCAAUGAUGGUCAAUGAUGUGUGACAUAACUUUGUUUUUCAAUUAAUUUAGGACUUCAUUUUAUGUAACUAUAAAUACUUGCCUUUUGUUUUGUUUUAUUUUUAUCACACAUUUUUUUUGAAGAAAAAAAUGACUUGUGACUUAUGUAUUAGGAUAUUAUUGUAUAACUUAGUGUUGGAAUUUCCAUCCAAUUUCCUUGUAAUCAUUUUUGUAAGUUCUUGAUUAUGAUUUUUUAGUUCCUUAGAUAUUGUUAAUAAAUAUAAGAGUAGUUAAAUACCAUAACUAAGAUUAUAGAAACUAUGAUGAAAUAACAAUAAUAAGUCUACAAAAUAAGAGAUUUCCAAUAGUAUUCACACACGUAUUAUUAGUUUAUUUGGUUUGAAUUCUUUUUGUGGUUGCAAAUGUUAUAAAUCACAUAUAAUUUAAAGUUGCUUGACAAAAGAGUUGGAGAAUAUGAAAAGAAACUAACAAUGUAGAUUUGAGGCUUUCAACCCCCAUCUAGUGACUUUAGUUGUUACAAGAAUAGUAACCAAAAACCUUAUGAUGAGAACUAAAUACUUUGACACUUAGGUGUUGAAAGGACUUAAGUGACAUUUAUCUAAUUAGAUUGAAAAACUUUAGGUAAACUAUAGGUUCGUUUGUUUUACAUGUGUUGUAUAAUGAAUAGACUUUUUGUGAUUUAUUUAGCCUUAAAAUGGUAAGAAAUUAAGUCGCCAAUACCAUUUUGAGCUAGUUUCAAUUUUAGUUUGUUUGAUUUUUAGGGUUGAAUCCAAAAGAUCAACAAAAAUCUUGAAGAAGGUAAAGCAAGAAAAGAUAGUGAAAUAAAGCUAAAAAGUGAAGUGGCUUGCCAAAAAAGUUUUACGCAUCACCAAACCUCCUGGCGUAUCACCUAAUUCUUGUUCUUAUCAUCUGAGGAAGUAGGCUGGUGAAUCUUGAAGAUAAUUGUAAUGACCCAAAUCAUUGUCACGCUGAAUUAAGAGGUAUAAUUGACUCCUAGUCCUUCUUUAAGCUAUUUUUGAGAAAUUUUAGGCUAGUGUAGGAUUAAAUAAUUUUUGAAGGUGUGUGAAUUUAUAGAAAUCUAGUACUAAUAUGAGUAUCAAUGGUGAUAUUUGACUCAUGUUUUAGAUAUCCAACGAGUUUAGGAGGUUGUAGCAACUUUUGAUACUCGAAAUAGAAUAAAUUGAACUCUAAUUAUAGUGUUAACUAUAGAGGGAUUGAUUCACUAUGUCAUAUUUUGGGAAGUAUGUUAUGAAGUGGAUAGGGCUAGAGAGAGGUCCUGAGUUUUUGUCUUGAAUUAUUGUGGCAAUAAAUGUUAUAGCAGCAAGUUAACCUAUAUUUUGUUUGUGGAACUGUUGCAGUAGUAAUUUAACCAUUGUAAAGGUAAAUAUGCAGAAUUUAAUAGUUUGAAGAAUCCAAAAACUCUUUAUUUCCCACUUUUUGUAAAAUAUGAGAGAGAUUAGGAAAGGCAAUUUUUUCUAUAAAAUUUAGGAGUUUUUAACUUUGGAGGUAAUUUGUUACAUUCUAAGCUUGAAAUUAGUUAUAUAAGCUCAGCAAAAUCAUUAGAAAAUGAUUCAUGAUGGAAUUUUGGAUUUUGCCCUACUUCAUGCAAUUUAUAAAAAUUGACAGGAAUGAUAAAAUCAGUAUAUAUGAUACUAAGGUGUUAGAAAACACUAAUGAGUGUAUAAUUUCAAUUGAAUUCAUGAUGUUUAAAUGGUAGAAAACCAUAAGAUGGUGAAUUAAAGGAAAUUAUGAUUAAAAGUUACUGAUUGUUCAUCCUUAGUGGUUAAAAAUUGAUAAAUUAAUUGAAUAAUGUAUCAUCUUAUUAUUUUAGAUCAUGAACAAAUUGAAGGAGAAAUAAAAGUCAAGCUUAUGGCCUAGAAGUAAAUUUGAGCAAGGAAACACGUUAGGUUAUGGUUUAUUAUAACAAUUAGACUUGCUUAACUCUGUGCGUAUAUGCGAAUUAAGUAUUUGUGAUGACUUUCGAGAACUACUUGUGAUUGUUAACUGCAUUACAUGUUCAUUUAUUGCUGUCGAGAAUGUAGUAAAAUAUCAUAAUGGUGAUAAUAUUAUUGAUAAUGAUGAGAUAAAUCAUGAUGUUCAUGAUGAUUGUUGAUGAUGUUGAUGAAAUUGAGAGGUGAAAGAAAAGAUGUAAAAAUGCUUUGAAUGUUCAGUUAUAAUCUUAUGUCGUGAUGAAACUUGUUGAAUUUUACUAAGUAUAGAUAUUCAUGAUUUUGAGUUUGUAUUAUCUCUAAAGCAAAUUACAUAAUUUAUUGAAUAUUUUUGAUUAUAAGUUUUGUGAUGGUCACUUUGCAUAUAUUUGAUUUACAUUUUGUAUGGUGUUGGAUUGAGUCGACCUAUGAUGUCUAACAAUACUUAUUGGGGCAACUGUUGGAUGUUCUUAUCUUUGUUCAUCUCUUAUUGUGGGACUAAGAUAUUCCUUUGUUAUUUAAUUAUUUGGUUAUUCUAUUAGCUAUCUAUUUUAGACAAUCUCAGUUGUUCUUGAAUGAUGACUUCAGGUCUCGGGGAUGUAAUACAUAGAGGUUUUUGUGCUCUUUUAGUUUUAAAUUUUGAUGUCAGUUUGACAAUUAGUUUAAGUUAUUGAAUGAACAUUCUCUUACACUUGUUUAAAUUGAGGACUAAUAUAAAGUGAAUUAAAAGUAACACUUGUGUUAGUUAGGGUUGAGAUUUGUGGGGUUUUCUCGCCAUAGGUUAGGGUGGGUUCCAUUUAUUACUGAUUGAAUCUUGACAAAGAUGGUAUAAAAGAACUAAGUUUGUAGAUAUCAUUGUACAAGAAAAUGUCUAGUAGAGUUCUUUGGAAUGGUACAGAGAUGUUUGUACCAUUUUUGGAAGGCCAUAAAGCUAAGGAAAAAAUCCCUUUCCAUAUUUCUUUUGUGCCAUUGCUUAAUUCUGAUUGGUAUCUGGUGAUCUAAAUUAUUAUCUAGUUUAUUUACUCUUGUUCACAGAUGAUGAAUACUAAUUACACCAAAGCAGUAGCAACCACACCCACAUCAGAACCCACACUGACUAUUGGUGUCCUAGUUUAAGGCAAACAUUGAGUUAAGGGCAGAUGUAGAAGGGCAUGAUGGAGAGCAACACCUGUUAUGGCUAGAUCCUAGGUAGAAUGUGGAUUGGAAAGACAGAGUCACUAUCCUAUCCCACCAUAAUAGGAUGCCCUAGACCGUGCUUAGAAUAAAGAAGUGAUAGUUAAGUAGGAGAUGGUAGCUGAAAACAAUGUGGUUCCAACACAAAAUGGUCUAGAACUAGUGCCUUUAUUUGCGGAAGUGAUUUAACAAGUAUUGGGAUUCUUAAGAAGCUUGGCCGACACUAGUCAUACUCCAGGCAUUCUGGCCUUCUCUUCCCUAUCCUUACUACAUGCAGUUGUUAUAAAACCAUGAAGAGAUGACGACUCUGAAACAGAGGUUUAUUCCUAAUAGGCACUUAGGCUAGUGAUGACUAAUGAUGAACAUCGACUAUUUUGCAAGUUCAUGAAGAUGAAGCCCCCAUAAUUCAAAGGUACAGAGUAUGAGAAUCCAUUUGAGUUCAAGAUAGAUUUUGAUGAGCGUCUGCACAAUAUGGGAAAAUUGUUAAAAGGUAUGGUGUGGAGUUUGUUCCAUUUGAGCUGUAGUCUGAAGCCAAUUAAUGGUGUAGGUCAUUUGUAGAGUGUAGGGUUUCCUUACAUCUACUUACUUAGGAAUAAUUUUAGAAUGUAUUCCUUGAGAAAUAUGUUCCUCGCAUUUAUUUUGACUUAAAUAAGCAUGAUUUUUUGAGACUGAAGUAUGGUAACAUGUCUGUGGCAGCUUAUAAGGUCAAGUUUCAUGUCUUGUAUACUAUGAACUAUUAUUGAUUACCUCAGAGGAAGAGCAAAUUAGGUACUUCAUGAAGGGUUUGAACUCUAGGAUUUAGUUGGCCACAUUAUCUAUGGCUAUGUCUAGGAAGUCCUUUUAUGAGAUAAUUUAAUUUUCCAAGAAGGUUGAGGCACUUGAGAAGCAGGGAGAAGUAAAGGCAGAAAAGAAGCUAGCCUAAACCUUAGUACAGUUCAACAAAACUUUCUUAAAGGUUCACAGUUCUUCUAAAUCUUAUAAUUCAUCCACGCUAGUGUCUGUAGGGGUCCAAUCUAGGGUCAGCUAUUAGCCUUCCUGGACAGAAAGAUACAUACCUUUAUUUUCUCCGUUUAGAGGCCUAUUUUACACUUUAGGUGCUAGGUGUGUUAGGGGUUUGGGCAACAUCUGAAUGUAUUUUCCUAACUUUUUUUCUGCAGGUUAAUUGACUCAGCAACUGCUUCUACUACUUUAGUUCUGGUAGGUCAUGGUACAAAAAGAAAUGGUAGGUGUCAUCCAUAGGGUGGAUGUGAUGGCUAGGCUAGGGAUGGAAACUAAGGAGACAAAGGUGGAUGGAAGUUUGGUAAGAAUAGUGCUCAUAAUGGUAUAGGUAAUAGCCACAGUGGUUGUAAUACCCAUCUUUAUAUAUUUUCAGAUCAUUCUAAAGCAAGGGUUCUAAUGUUGUGUUCACAGGUACUGAUUUUAUAUGUUAUCGUAUGGAUUUUGUAUUAAUUGAUCUUGGAUCUACUUUAUCUUAUAUAUCUGUGAAAUUUGUAAUUGGUUAGGACUUAGAUUGGAAUCUCUUGAUGCUUUUAUGUAUUUAUCAAUGCUAAUUGGGGUUUCUGUAUGUGUUGAUCAGGUAUAUCGUGCGUGUCUUAUGAUGUUUAUGGGGUUUAAGACAAUGUCAUACAUAAUUAUUCUAGAUAUGGAGAAGUUUGAUAUUAUAUUAAGGAUGAAUUGGUUAUCUCUUUAUCAUACCAUUCUUAACUAUUCUAAAAAAAUAGUUACUGUAGCGAUGACCAAGAUGGAUAAGUUCGAGCAGAGGGAAGGGUAGUUUAAGCCUAAUCCUAUGAAUUUUGUGUUAGCUAUUCAUGUCCAAAAAUUAGUAAAGAAGGGAAUUUUGACCUAUCUUUGGGAAGAUAACCUAUUUUAUGGGUUGUGGUAUUCUCCAAAAUUGACUUAAGGUCAGUUUAUCAUUAUCUCAAGAUUAGGGGAGAGGACAUCCCAAAAACUACUUUUCAAACUUACUACGGGCAUUAUAAGUUUCUAGUUAUUUUUAUUGGCUUAACCAAUGCCCCCAAAGACUGCUUUUCAAACUCAUUAUGGGUUUUUAGUUAUUUCGUUUCACUUAACCAAUGCCCCAACUAUUUUCAUGAGUCUAGUGAAUGAAUUUUUAAGUCAUUCACUAUUUCAUUGGUCAUUGUUCUCAUUGAUGACAUAUUAGCUUACACCAAAAGUGAAUAAGAGAAUAAAACUCACUUGCAUACAGUGUUGGGGUUACUUGAGGAAAAACAUUGUAUGCUAAAUAUUAUAAGUGUGAGUUUUAUCUUUCUUUUGUGUCCUUCUUGGGGCACAUGAUUUCUAAUAAAGGAGUUGUGGUAGACAUGUAUGAGGUUACAACUAUUAAGAAUUUGGCUAGAACAACGAAUAUGACAAAAAAUUAUAGCUUUGUGGGGUUGGCCAAUUGUUAUUGUUGAUUUGUUAAGGGUUUUACUGUCAUUGCUUCACAUAUGACCUGCCUUACUUAGAAGGAAGUUCCAUUUAUGUGUGAUGAGGAGUGGAAGGAGAGCUUUCAAAAUAUCAAAACCUUGUUGACUUCGACCACAAUACUACCCCUUCCUAUUGAUGGUAAGGAUUUUAUUGUAUAUUGUCACACCUCACCGUUGAGUUUAGGUGUUGUUUUGAUAUAAGAUCAGUACGUGAUUGCCUAUGCCUCAUGAAAACUGAAUCCCUAUGAGAAAAGCUAUCCCAUACAUGAUUAGCAGUUUUGGUGUUUUCAUUAAAGUGUAAAGUGUUCACAAACUACCACAGACUAUGUAAAGUGUUCACCGAUAAGGAUCUAAAUCUAAGACAGAGAAGAUGGAUAGAGUUAAUUAAAGACUAUGACAUCUUAAUCCUAUAUUAACCAGGUAAAUCUAGGUGGAUGCUCUAAGAUAAAAAUUGAUGAGCAUAGGAAGUUUAGCAUGGAUGGAGGUGUCCAGGAACCUCUUGGUGAGAAAGGUACAGUCUUUGGCUAAUGGCUUUCUAAGCUGGAAAGAAACUAGAAAAGGAAGGGUAUUAGUACAUGUGGAGGUCAGGUCCAUAUUUUAUGACCAAAUUAAAUGUAGGCAGUUUAAUAAAAAGAAGUUAAGUAACCUUUGAGAAAAGGUGUUACAAAAGGGGGACAAGAGAAGUCAAUCAUGAUGACAAGGGAUCUGAGAAUUUUGGGGAGGUUGUGCUUACCCCAAGUAGGCAAUGUGAUUCUGAAUAUUCUAGUAAAGGAUAAAAAUUCUAAGUACUCUAUACAUCCAAGUUCCAACAAGAUGUAUAGGGACUUAAGGCAACAUAAUAGGUGGCAAAGAAUGAAGCGGGACAUUAUGGAUUUUAUAACCAAGUCUCAAAACUUCCAAUAGGCCAAGUACAAAAUUUAAAAGAAUAGUGGUAUAUUUCAUAGAAUACCUAUUCUAAAAUGAAGUGGUAACAAAUAACAAUGGACACUAGAGUGAGUCUUCCUUAAAUAUUGGGGAAGUAUGACUCUAUAUGGGUCAUUGUAGAUCAGUUGACUAAGUCAGCUCAUUUCAUUCUAGUGAGAGUAUACUAUAAUGCGAUUAAGUUAGCCAAUAUUUAUGUGAAUGAGAUUAUAAGUCUAUACAAGGCAUCAAUGUCGAUUAUGUCAGACAGAGGUACUUAGGACACCUCCAACUUUUGGGAAAGAUUCCAUCAGAAUUAGGUUCUAGAUUAGACUUGAGCAUAACUUUUCACCUAUCCAACAAUGAUCAAUCGAAGAGAACUAUCUAAGUACUUGAGGACAUAGUUUGAGCAUAUGUUAUUGUCUUUGAGGGUUAGUGGGGCUAGUACCUACCAUUAUAUGAAUUUUCCAACAAUAAUAGCUACUACUCUAGUACUAAUAUGGCUCCUUUUGAGGCCUUAUAUGGUAGGAGGUGUAGGUCUCCAAUUGGGUGAUUUGAUGUAUUUAAGGGGAGGCCUUGGGAAACUGACAAACUCAAGGACUCUGUAGAAAAAGUGAGGUUUAUAUAGGAAAAUCUCAUAGUGUCUCAUAGCCCAUAGAAAGAAUAUACAGACAAUAUAGUAAGAGAUGUGGAGUUUGAGAAGAGGGAGAAGGUCCUCUUAAGGUAUCACCCGCGAAGGGUGUAAUGAGGUUACGAAAAAAAGGAAAGUUGAGCCCAAAAUACAUUGGAAACUUUGAGGGUUUGAAGGAAUUUAGGCCUAUAGCAUACAAACUAGCCUUAACUCCUAGAAUGUUCGUGGUUCACCCAGUAUUCCAUGUGUCUAUGCUAAAGAAGUAUCACAGUGAUUGUGAUCACAUCAUUCGUUGGGAUCCUGAAUUAUUUGAUAAGGAGUUGUCCUAUGAAGAUGAACCAAAUUAUAUAUCAUCUAAGGGUGUGAAGAAGUAAAGGACCUGAAUUAUUACUUGUUUGAAGGUUCAAUGGAGGAACCACACUAUUAAAGGGGCUACUUCAAAGAUAGAAGUGGACAUGCAUAUGUGAUAUCCGCACUUGUUCAUUGAUUAAGGGAACUUCUUGCUUAGAUAUAUUUUUCUUGAUCUAUUUGUUAUUUUAGGAUGAAUGAGUGGUAAAUUGGUAUCUAAUGUAAUGAUCUAAAUCAUUGUUAUGAUGAAUUAGGAGGUACAAUCGACACCUAGUCCUUCCUUAAGCAAUUUUUGAGAAAUUUAAAGCUAGUCUGGGAUUAGAUAAUUUCUAGGGUGUGUUAGUAUAUAGAAAAAUGAUACUAAUGUGAGUAUAUAUGGUGAUGUUUGACUCAAGUUUUAGACUACAAUGAGUUUUGGAGGCCGUAGCAACUUCCAAUACUCGAAACUGAGUUAUAGAACUUUUGUUAUAAUGUUUAAUGUGGAGGUAUUAGUUUGUGAUGUCAUAUUUCGUGAAGUGUAUUGUGAAAUGAAUAGGGCUGGAGAGAGGUCCCAACCUUUUACCUUAGUCUACUACAACAUAAAAGGUAAACGCUAUAGUAGUAGCCUAUGGUUCAUUGCGAAAUCACUGCAAUGGUAAUUUAGCUACUAUAGUAGUGAUAUGCAGAAUCCAAAAAUAUUUUUCAUUCCCCACUUUCUGAAAAACAUGAGAGAGCAUUGCGGAAGGAAAUUUUCUGCAUAAUUUAAGAGUUUUUCAUCUUUGGAGGUAUGUUACAUUAUAAACAUGAAAUUACUUCUUAUAAGAUCUACAAAUCAUUAUAAAACGAUUCAUGAUGGAAUUUAGGGUUAUGCUCUAGUUCAUGAAAUUAAUCAAAAUUGGAGGCAAUUGAUGACGUCCAAGCAACACCUCCUAUUAGAUGACGAUACGGUCACUAUCAAAAUAUAUUAACCAAAUAAAGGUUGGGGCAGAAUCCCAAGGGAAUAUGUGGACUCGUGGAUUUCAGAUGCUUUAAUCAACAGGCAUGAACUGGAAAGUAAAUAGGGGUUUUGAAUGGAAAUAUCAAACAAAUAUUUGCUAUCAACUUUGAUUGUGAUCAGUAUUGGGGAACACUAGGGUUGUGUUCCCCCUGGCUUCAUAACUCCGUAGGUUUGUUGCACUAUAUUGAACCAACUCGAUACCUUGCAUGCAGAAUCAAUAAGUUAUGUACCAUCUACAGUAUUUUGGAUGAGUAUACAGAUUUCACCCUUUACUUUUUGAGUCUCAGUAUGUUUCCUUACUAACCCUUAUCUUGAUCCAAAUUAUCUAUUGCCUUUUGGGUCUCUAGUUAUUAGAUUAUAGUUCAAUAUCUUACUUAGAUAAUACCUAGCAGAGUGGAUUGAUAGUUAAUCUUCAUAUUACUGUUGUCAUUAUCUUUUCCUAGUUACUAAUCUUCUUUUGGAGUAAGUAGCAAUACUCUAGGCGGGAUCUUAACAUUGGUCACCGAUAAGAAAUCUAUUAUAAUGAAGACAAUGCAAUGAAGGCCAUGGGUAUCGUUUCAAUUCAACAAUCACACUUCCCCUACUUCGUCAAUCCUCCAGGGUUUCUAGAACCCUAGCUAUGGGUAAUUUUGAAGAAAUCAAUAUCAUUCAUAGUUGAAAGCAUAGAUGAAAUCACAAAGAUAAGAAUUGUAAAAACCCACAAUAGUUACUGAAUAAUUUAACUAAAGUCAAUACACGUAAAAACCAAGAUCAAAAUCGAAUCUUGGAAUGAAAAUAUAUUUGUGAAAAUCAAAAGUGUGUAACUCCUAUGAAAAGACAUAUAAAUGGUAUUUAUAGUACAUUAGAAACCCUAAAAUCAAAGCUCAAAUGAAAUAGGAGAAAAUCAGGUUGGUGGCCACAUGUGGUCCGUACCUACAACCUGGUACCGGGCGUAGGUAGUACCUAUGGUCCUGAUACUGGGCGAAGGCACAAACCAUAGGUACCGAUAGAAAAAACCUACAAGUUCAAAUCUUGGGAUUUUGGACUUCUAGUACUUGCUUUGCCUACAUGCGGUCCAUAGGCCCUACUUGCAGCCACAUGUUGACUUGAUAAGUGUCAGGAGACAUCUUUUUAGCUCUUCUUCAAUUCUUGAAUAUGCUUUUAUCACGAAAAAGUUGGAAAAUAUAUCGAAUAUCCAUAAUUUCUCCAAAAAUGGCCAGAAACACUUUUUUCCACCUUUUUCAAGAACUUAUCAUCCAAAACAUAAUUUCCUGAAAAACAUACCCAAAAGACAUCAUAUCUAACAAAAUAGCCUCAGAAACUUGCAUCUUUUUCAGGUUUUAAGAGUUGAAAUUUCUAUAUUUACAUAGCACAUCAACACCAUCAACUUAGAACGUUUGCAUGUCCUCAGGCAACAAAACACAACAAAAAAAAAACAAUGCUUAACUAGGAGAAACUAAGCUAUUCAAGGCAGUCAGUCUCAAAACACAACAUCCCCUUCCAAUCUUAUUUUUCAAAACCAACUGUGUAUGAACAUAAAGCAUAACAAUGUGACAUAAUAGGAUCAAGGAAAAACAAUUACAUUAGCAACAGACAACCACUCAUAUAUACAAGUUACACUACCCAAAACAAGCAAAUAGCUAGAAAUAUGACUCAAGUGAUCUCACAACAAGAAUGUCCCACUCACUCAUAUAAAAUUGUACAUGUCCAUGCAGGGAUGGUCAAGAGACACUCAUAUUCAGAAGAGAAGUUCCAAUCAAUGCAUGUCAAAUGCCAUAGGCUUGCCCUUAUUUUCUUUACCUUAGCAUUCAGAUAGUCAAGUUAGGAUCACUAUAGAACAAUUCUUGAUUUGUAAUGUAGGCUUGGGGGCUGGUAUAGUACAUACGGACAUAUCAAGUGACUAAGCCUCCUUGGCACUACACUAACCUAGGGGUCUCACUUAUUAACCAUUUUUACUUUAUUUUCACCCUUAUUUCUCCCUUUUAUUCUUUUAUGCACAUUCAGGUGAGGUGUGGUCUUUUAGUUUUUAUUUUUUCACAAUUUUUCUUUUCUUUUUUUCAUUUUUUUUCUACCACACCCAACCCUACUAACUUUUUUUAGCUUAUUUUACCCUUAUUCAUACCCAUUUUACACUACAUACCCCUAUGAUAGCCAACCUCAACUUAGGCAUUUUUCUUGAGUUGAGGUGCACAAUGUCCAAGGAGGAAUAAGGAUAAAAUAGGUUCAUUAUAACAAAAAUGGAAAGGUGAAAGGUGAAAACAAAGAAACAGGAUACAAGGCUCAAAAUUGGGAUCAGGGGAUAUAAUUCAAACAUGGAAGGUCAUUUAGGCUAAAGUGGACUGAAAUAUAAAAUGACUUAUAAUUCUUUCCUAACUGACUAUCCUUCAACUUAGGAAAGACUAACCUGACAAGUUUUGAAUUCGACACAUAAAGGGAACUAGAUAGUAUCUCACACACACAUGGCACAGAGUCACAUCACAAGGUACUACCUAUCCGGUUCAUGCACAAGUUAGCUAUUAUCAUCGUUUCCCUAAUUCUAAUUCCAUAACAAGAUCCAUAAUGUUCACACCUAUAUACAUUCACAUAAUUAUAAAACACAAAUUUUUGGAGAGGUAUCAUAAUUUAAUCAAAGCAUAACUAUUUCCCUAAAUGUUAGCCUCCUAUAUUUAUGUUUUAUGUUUUAAUAAUGAUAAACUAAUAAGUGAACUUUGUAGGAUAUUGAAGAUCCCUAAUGAAGGAAGGAGAACUCAAACAAAGGAUAUUGAAUAUCUCUAAUCAUGGGAGGAUAUCUCACACAAGGCAAAGAAUAUUCUCUCAAAGGAUAUCGUGCUAAAUAUGGAGCCACAUCAAAGAUAUUGAGGAUCCAUAAUGAUUGAAGGAGAUCUCACACAACGGACAUUGAAUAUCUCAAAUCAUGGGAGGAUAUCUCACACAAGGCAAGGAAUAUUCUCUUAAAGAAUAUCGUGCUAAAUAUAGAGCCACAUCAAAAGUAGGAUAUCAUUUGACAAGGCAAUAAAAAUAAUAUUAAUUAAAGUCCCAAUAGACAAGGCAAUUGGACGCACCUCAUGACAAGAUCAAAGGAGAAGAAUGAUCUCACUGCUUACAUAGACAUAUUUGAUAUAGACAUGUAUAGAUGUGACACAGGAAACUCUCACCAAGUAUGAACAUAUCUAAUAUGGACAUACCAAAAGGUGCAAACUCCCUCAAUCAAGGAAUAAACUCAAAUCCUUGAUUGAGAAGAAAUAUCUCAGGUUUCUUUAUGAAGAAAAAAAUCUUAUACAACAGAAGACUAUAAAGGCCAAAAUAAAAGAAAGAAGUCACUACAUAACUUCAAGGAGAAAAAUCAAAGUGUCUCAAUGUUAGUCUCACAAGGCUUUGUAACUUUUAGUUUGCAAUUGUUAUAUAAAGAGUAGGGUCGAGUCAUCUUUGUAGUAUCAACUGAAGCUGUGUCACAAGAUCUGAUGAGAAAUAUAAGUCUUCAAAACUUAUUUUCUAUCAUUUUACUUUAGCUUGAAAUUGAACGAUCUAAAGAAACUUUAAAACCCAAGGGGACUGAAAGUAGGCACCACAUUGGUGUUUCUAACCAAGAUAAAGCUUCGUGUCUUUACUUUGAGUUUAAAUAUAUAUUUUCUUAAUUUUUUUAAAUCUAAUUUUUUUGUGAAGUACACUGAUCUACAAGUGAGUUGACUGAAAGGAUUCAGUAGUCGACUCACAGAAAAAUUUCAAUUCACCCCCUUUUGAAUUUCAAUAGGUAUCAAAGUAGGUAUCACCAACAGUAUUGCUUAACCACAAGUGAGAAAAGAUCAAAUGGAAAAUUAUCAAAUUCCUAGUUCUCUUCUUCAAGAUGGUCACUCCUCCACAAGAAUGCCAUACUUUAAUGGACCGCAUUACUCAUACGGGAAAAAUAGAUUCAGAAUCUUUGUCCAAUCAAUGACUUCAAAUCCUGGUUGGUCAUCAAGAAGGGUACAAAGACAAUUCUAGGACUUAAAGAAAAGCAAAAGGGCAAGGACCAAGAAUCCAAUAGUGUCAACAUAGAAUACCUUGAACGUUUUGAGGUCACCAAGGAACAAUAAGGGGUAAUCCAAACAAAUGCAUGUGCUAUGAGUUUACUUCUUUGUGCAGUUAGUGGAGAAGAAUACGUCAAGAUAUUAAAUUGUGAGACUUUAAAAAAAUAUGGGACAAAUUAGAGGUAACCUAUGAAGGAACUACCAAAGUCAAAAAGUCAAAAAUUGCUACCUUGGUUAAUGAAUACGAGCUGUUCAAAAUGAAAGAGAAUGAGAACAUUUAAAAAAUGUUUGCCAGAUUCAGUAAGAUUGUAUGAAAACAUAAAUCAUUAGGGAUGAUCUAUCCACAUAGCGUACAAGUCCAAAAGCUUGUCCAAUGUCUUACAAAGAUUUAGGAAACCAAGGUUGUCAUUUUGGAAGAUGGAGAUCUACACAACAUGAUAUAUGAUGAACUACGAGGUAACCUCUUUGCAUAU
rnacentral:lncRNA from 1 species